AUUGAACGCUGGCGGCAGGCUUAACACAUGCAAGUCGAGCGGGGUGAUGGUGCUUGCACUAUCACUUAGCGGCGGACGGGUGAGUAAUGCUAGGAAUCUGCCUAUUAGUGGGGGACAACAUCUCGAAAGGGAUGCUAAUACCGCAUACGUCCUACGGGAGAAAGCAGGGGAUCACUUGUGACCUUGCGCUAAUAGAUGAGCCUAAGUCGGAUUAGCGAGUUGGUGGGGUAAAGGCCUACCAAGGCGACGAUCCGUAGCGGGUCUGAGAGGAUGAUCCGCCACACUGGGACUGAGACACGGCCCAGACUCCUACGGGAGGCAGCAGUGGGGAAUAUUGGACAAUGGGGGGAACCCUGAUCCAGCCAUGCCGCGUGUGUGAAGAAGGCCUUAUGGUUGUAAAGCACUUUAAGCGAGGAGGAGGCUCUUUUGGUUAAUACCCAAGAUGAGUGGACGUUACUCGCAGAAUAAGCACCGGCUAACUCCGUGCCAGCCGCCGCGGUAA
rnacentral:rRNA from 1 species